AUACCCGAAGUCCGUGAGCUAACCGCAAGGAGGCAGCGGCCGAAGGUAGGGUCAGCGAUUGGGGUGAAGUCGUAACAAGGUAGCCGUAGGAGAACCUGCGGCUGGAUCACCUCCUUUCUAAGG
rnacentral:rRNA from 2 species